AGUUUCCCGCUAGCAGCUUCCCAUGUCAAGCCACUCAGUCGGAGCUGGCCGAGAGAAAAAACAUAAUUCAAACUGAUGCUUGGAGGAUUUUUUUUUUGUUCCAAGGAUUGAGCAGGUAUGCUCUGUGGACUGCCUGAGUUAUCUUUCACUGGCAAUGGGAGAACUAGCCCCACAGGACAUAUUUAAAGGGGUGGGGACACUGGAGUGUGGGGGGUGCAUGGCAACAUAUUCAAGCUUAUGUACAUGGCAUUUGAGGUCAGGGCAUGGAAAAAUACUGAGGCACUGUGUGUAUGUUAUUUGUGCAUGAGAAAGAAACUCCUUGACCCUGAAAACAGGACAGGGAGUGGAGCGUGUGGUGUGAUAAUGAACGCUGAAAACAGCCUCCUGAGAAUGCGGUUUGAGUGCUUUUAUGAGGCCGCAGGUGUCUCACGACCCGACCUCAAAAAAGCCAUGUAGUGGAUGUUUGUGGUUUAACAAGCCCUUUCAAUAAAUACUUGGCAGACAGAUGCUGGGGCGGGUUCUCUUAGAAGAACUGCCCCCCACUUCCCCCGGCCCCACUCAGCUGAAAUUGUCUAAGAACUCAUUCUUGACGUUCACUGCAAGCUAUAAACUCUGCAAGUGGUGCACCCGACGUGAUAGCCUUGAAGUUAUGCGUGAAAGGAGGAGAGCUCAUCAAUUUUUGGAAAAUCCUGGUAAGGGACAGUCCUGACUACCAUCAGGUGGACAGGACCCACGUGAAAAAUACCAGGGGUUCGGUUAUCAUGGGUCAGGAAAUGAACAAAGAACAAAGUUUUUUGUUUUUUUUUUGAGACGGAGUCUCACUCUGUCGCCCAGGCUGGAGUGCAGUAGCGCGAUCCCAGCUCACUGCAACCUCCCUGGUUCAAGCUAUUCUCCUGCCUCAGCCUCCUGCAUAGCUGGGAUUACAGGCAUGCAUCACCCCACAACAGGACUUAAUUAACCUCGUCUUCAAGAUGUACAAUAAUAGAGAAAAGUUACAAUUACUUGCCUCUGCUGUGAGACAAAACCCAGCAGCACCUCCAGCACACAAGAACUUCAAAAUGCCUAAGCCGCACAUGCCUAAACCGCAGUGGUCAAGCAUUCCUACAGGACCUUCUUCAUCAGGAUCUUGCUUCAAGUGCCAGAAAUCUGGCCGCUGGGCCAAGAAAUGCUCGCAGCCUGGAAUUCCUCCUAAGCCGUGUCCCAUCUGUGCAGGACCCCACUGAAAAUCAGACUGUCCAACUCGCCCGGCAGCCACUCCCAGAGCUCUGGGAUCUCUGGCCCAAGACUCUCUGACUCCUUCCCAGAUCUUCUCAGCUUAGCAGCUGAAGUCUGAUGCUGCCCGAUCACCUUGGAAGCCUCCUGGGCCAUCACAGACACUUUGGGUAACUCUUACAGUGGAGGGCUACAAUCUACUCGGCUUGCUGCUGCCCGCGCCGCGGACUGCCUGGGACUGCCGAGGCCCGCCACCGCUGCCUGCCUUUUCUCCUUUGGAUGCAGGCACGCGUUCACCAUCUUGGCCACGCUGGUCGCCAGCUCCUGACGCCGAGUGCUCUGCCCGCCUCAGCCUCCCGAGGUACUGGGACUACAGACGGAGUCUCGCUCACCCAGUGCUCGGUGUUGCCCGGGCUGAAGGGCAGUGGCGUGGUCUGGCCUCGCGGCAGCCUCUACCCCCCGGCCGCCUGCCUUGGCCUGCCAGGGUGCUGGGAUUGCAGCCCCUGCCCGGCCGCUGCACCAUCUGGAAGGUGGGGAGCGCCUCUGCCCGGCCGCCCCGUCUGGGAGGUGAGGAGCGCCUCUGCCCGGCCGCCCCGUCUGGGAGGUGAGGAGCGCCUCUGCCCGGCCGCCCCGUCUGGGAAGUGAGGAGCGCCUCUGCCCGGCCACCCACCGUCUGGGAAGUGAGGAGCGCCUCUGCCCGGCCACCCACCGUCUGGGAAGUGAGGAGCGCCUCUGCCCGGCCACCCACCGUCGGGGAAGUGAGGAGCGCCUCUGCCCGGCCACCCACCGUCUGGGAAGUGAGGAGCGCCUCUGCCCGGCCACCCACCGUCUGGGAAGUGAGGAGCGCCUCUGCCCGGCCACCCACCGUCUGGGAAGUGAGGAGCGCCUCUGCCCGGCCACCCACCGUCUGGGAAGUGAGGAGCGCCUCUGCCCGGCCACCCACCGUCUGGGAAGUGAGGAGCGCCUCUGCCCGGCCACCCACCGUCUGGGAAGUGAGGAGCGCCUCUGCCCGGCCACCCAUCGUCUGGGAAGUGAGGAGCGCCUCUGCCCGGCCGCCCCGUCCGGGAAGAAGUGAGGAGCGCCUCUGCCCGGCCGCCCCGUCCGGGAAGAAGUGAGGAGCGCCUCUGCCCGGCCGCCCCGUCUGGGAAGUGAGGAGCGCCUCUGCCCGGCCGCCCCGUCUGGGAAGUGAGGAGCGCCUCUGCCCGGCCACCCACCGUCUGGGAAGUGAGGAGCGCCUCUGCCCGGCCACCCACCGUCUGGGAAGUGAGGAGCGCCUCUGCCCGGCCACCCACCGUCUGGGAAGUGAGGAGCGCCUGUGCCCGGCCACCCACCGUCUGGGAAGUGAGGAGCGCCUCUGCCCGGCCACCCACCAUCUGGGAAGUGAGGAGCGCCUCUGCCCGACCACCCACCGUCUGGGAAGUGAGGAGCCCCUCUGCCCGGCCACCCACCGUCUGGGAAGUGAGGAGCCCCUCUGCCCGGCCACCCACCGUCUGGGAAGUGAGGAGCGCCUCUGCCCGGCCACCCACUGUCUGGGAAGUGAGGAGCGCCUCUGCCCGGCCACCCACCGUCUGGGAAGUGAGGAGCGCCUCUGCCCGGCCACCCAUCGUCUGGGAAGUGAGGAGUGCCUCCACCCGGCCGCCCCGUCCGGGAAGAAGUGAGGAGCGCCUCUGCCCGGCCGCCCCGCCCGGGAAGAAGUGAGGAGCGCCUCUGCCCGGCCGCCCCGCCCGGGAAGAAGUGAGGAGCGCCUCUGCCCGGCCGCCCCGCCCGGGAAGAAGUGAGGAGCGCCUCUGCCCGGCCACCCCCGUCCGGGAAGAAGUGAGGAGCGCCUCUGCCCGGCCGCCCCGUCCGGGAAGAAGUGAGGAGCGCCUCUGCCCGGCCGCCCCGUCCGGGAAGAAGUGAGGAGCGCCUCUGCCCGGCCACCCCCGUCCGGGAAGAAGUGAGGAGCGCCUCUGCCCGGCCGCCCUGUCUGGGAAGUGAGGAGCGCCUCUGCCCAGCCGCCCCGUCCGGGAAGAAAUGAGGAGCGCCUCUGCCCGGGCGCCCCAUCCGGGAAGAAGUGAGGAGCGCCUCUGCCCGGCCGCCCCAUCCGGGAAGAAGUGAGGAGCGCCUCUGCCCGGCCGCCCCAUCCGGGAAGAAGUGAGGAGCGCCUCUGCCCGGUCACCCAUCGUCUGGGAAGUGAGGAGCGCCUCUGCCCGGCCACCCACCGUCUGGGAAGUGAGGAGCGCCUCUGCCCGGCCGCCCCGUCCGGGAAGAAAUGAGGAGCGCCUCUGCCCGGGCGCCCCAUCCGGGAAGAAGUGAGGAGCGCCUCUGCACAGCCACCCAUCGUCUGGGAAGUGAGGAGCGCCUCUGCCCGGCCACCCACCGUCUGGGAAGUGAGGAGCGCCUCUGCCCGGCCGCCCCGUCCGGGAAGAAGUGAGGAGCGCCUCUGCCCGGCCGCCCCGUCCGGGAAGAAGUGAGGAGCGCCUCUGCCCGGCCGCCCCGUCCGGGAAGAAGUGAGGAGCGCCUCUGCCCGGCCGCCCUGUCCGGGAAGAAGUGAGGAGUGCCUCUGCCCGGCCGCCCAUCGUCUGGGAGGUGAGGAGCGCCUCUGCCAGGCCACCCAUCGUCUGGGAGGUGAGGAGCGCCUCUGCCCGGCCACCCAUCAUCUGGAAAGUGAGGAGCGCCUCUGCCCGGCUGCCCCAUCUGGGAAGUGAGGAGUGCCUCUUCCCGGACACCCAUCGUCUGGGAGAUGAGGAGCGCCUCUGCCCGGCCACCCAUCGUCUGGGAAGUGAGGAGCGCCUCUGCCCGGCCACCUAUCGUCUGGGAAGAAGUGAGGAGCGUCUCUGCCUGGCCGCCCCGUCUGGGAAGUGAGGAGCCCCUCUGCCCGGCCGCCCCGUGUCUGGGUAGAAGUGAGGAGCUCCUCUGCCUGGCCGCUCCGUCUGGGAGGUCUACCACGGAGGCCAGAAGCAAUGUGGGGGCUGGACAUGGUGGCUCACGCCUGUGGUCCCGGCACUCUAGGGGGCGAGGCGGGUUGAUCACUUCGGACUAGGAGUUCGAGACCAGUCUGGCCAACUUGGCGAAACAUGAAGAAUACAACAGACAAACCAACCAACCAACUCAAUGACAACAAAACAGGUCUACCCUGGAGUCAUACUCUAAUUUUUUCUAUUUUCCUCCCUUUCUGAUCCUUUAUCCCACUUUCUUUUUCUUCCUCUUCCUUCUCCCUCUUCUUUGUCAAAUAGAGGAUUGAGUUAUUAUCACUGAUCCAUAUAAAGUCCCUCUCUCAUUUAUUUUAACUCCCACCCCCAUUUCUAUUCCCCGACUUCCCAUGUGCAACCUUCCUAAUAUGUUUGAUACGCAUCUUUUUGUUUGUAUGUAUUUUUAGAAAAUGUUUAUUGUUUUUGUAUGCAAAAAAAAUUAAUAAAAAAAAAAAAAAAGAACCAACGAUAAUCCCA